rnacentral:tRNA from 1 species
GCCCUUUUAGUAUAAUGGUAUUACGCCGGUUUUGUAAUCCGGUUAUCACAGUUCGAUUCUGUGAAGGGGCACCA